GUCCCUACACACGCUAAAGUUGGAAUGUGGAACAAAUUUGAGGAGAUACACACAAUUCUUCCAGGACAAUUGCAUCAUGUGCAUCAAGUUUGGGACAAGCAUUGUCAGCGACGGUUGACAACCUCAUUAGGGAGGGUCAGAAGCCAAAAG